GACAGAGGGUGCAAGCGUUGUUCGGAAUCAUUGGGCGGAAAGGGCGCGUAGGCGGUUUUGCAAGUCGAAUGUGAAAGCCCAGGGCUCAACCUUGGAAGUGCAUCCGAAACUGCGAAACUUGAAUCCUGGAGAGGGUGGUGGAAUUCCCAGUGUAGAGGUGAAAUUCGUAGAUAUUGGGAGGAACACCGGUGGCGAAGGCGACCACCUGGACAGAGAUUGACGCUGAGGCGCGAGAGCGUGGGGAGCAAACAGG
rnacentral:rRNA from 1 species